rnacentral:rRNA from 1 species
AUGCACGCUGGCGGCGUGCCUAAUACAUGCAGGUCGAGCGAACGGACGAGAAGCUUGCUUCUCUGAUGUUAGCGGCGGACGGGUGAGUAACACGUGGAUAACCUACCUAUAAGACUGGGAUAACUUCGGGAAACCGGAGCUAAUACCGGAUAAUAUUUUGAACCGCAUGGUUCAAAAGUGAAAGACGGUCUUGCUGUCACUUAUAGAUGGAUCCGCGCUGCAUUAGCUAGUUGGUAAGGUAACGGCUUACCAAGGCAACGAUGCAUAGCCGACCUGAGAGGGUGAUCGGCCACACUGGAACUGAGACACGGUCCAGACUCCUACGGGAGGCAGCAGUAGGGAAUCUUCCGCAAUGGGCGAAAGCCUGACGGAGCAACGCCGCGUGAGUGAUGAAGGUCUUCGGAUCGUAAAACUCUGUUAUUAGGGAAGAACAUAUGUGUAAGUAACUGUGCACAUCUUGACGGUACCUAAUCAGAAAGCCACGGCUAACUACGUG